ACAAUGAAGAGUUUGAUCCUGGCUCAGGAUGAACGCUAGCUACAGGCUUAACACAUGCAAGUCGAGGGGCAGCAUUUCAGUUUGCUUGCAAACUGGAGAUGGCGACCGGCGCACGGGUGAGUAACACGUAUCCAACCUGCCGAUAACUCGGGGAUAGCCUUUCGAAAGAAAGAUUAAUACCCGAUGGUAUAAUUAGACCGCAUGGUCUUAUUAUUAAAGAAUUUCGGUUAUCGAUGGGGAUGCGUUCCAUUAGGCAGUUGGUGAGGUAACGGCUCACCAAACCUUCGAUGGAUAGGGGUUCUGAGAGGAAGGUCCCCCACAUUGGAACUGAGACAC
rnacentral:rRNA from 1 species